rnacentral:rRNA from 1 species
AUUGAACGCUGGCGGCAUGCCUUACACAUGCAAGUCGAACGGUAACGCGGGGCAACCUGGCGACGAGUGGCGAACGGGUGAGUAAUGCAUCGGAACGUGCCCAGUUGUGGGGGAUAACUGCUCGAAAGAGCAGCUAAUACCGCAUACGACCUGAGGGUGAAAGCGGGGGCUCGCAAGACCUCGCGCAAUUGGAGCGGCCGAUGUCGGAUUAGCUAGUUGGUGGGGUAAAGGCCCACCAAGGCGACGAUCCGUAGCUGGUCUGAGAGGACGACCAGCCACACUGGGACUGAGACACGGCCCAGACUCCUACGGGAGGCAGCAGUGGGGAAUUUUGGACAAUGGACGCAAGUCUGAUCCAGCCAUGCCGCGUGCGGGAAGAAGGCCUUCGGGUUGUAAACCGCUUUUGUCAGGGAAGAAGUCUUCUGGGUUAAUACCUCGGGAGGAUGACGGUACCUGAAGAAUAAGCACCGGCUAACUACGUGCCAGCAGCCGCGGUAAUAC